CAGGGGGGCAGCUGUGUUUCCUGGGGGGGCCUGUGGUGCAAGAGAGACUUCUCUCUCCCUUGAUAAUUUAAGCAUAGAUUACCUGAAAGUUCCAGUCGUCAGAGAGUGCAGACUCCCCCCCUGCCCAGCCUUAGGCUGGGUGGGGGAGGGGAAGCCACGCGGCCUUGUCCAGCUUUUUAAACAUCCAUCAGUGGUUGAAGAACAUCAGAUGAGCACGUGGAAGAUAUUCUCCAGUUAAAUUAUACCCAAAACAGACAGAUUUCAUCCACUCCAGGACGGCUGUGUGAUACAGAUGAA